rnacentral:rRNA from 1 species
UGCUCCCGCUGACGACCGGCGCACGGGUGCGUAACGCGUAUGCAACCUACCUCUUACUGGGGGAUAGCCUUUAGAAAUGAAGAUUAACACCCCAUAGCCCCUGACAUCCGCAUGGAUCGUCAGGGUAAAGGUUACGGUAAGAGAUGGGCAUGCGUCCUAUUAGCUAGAUGGUGUGGUAACGGCACACCAUGGCAACGAUAGGUAGGGGCCCUGAGAGGGGGAUCCCCCACACUGGUACUGAGACACGGACCAGACUCCUACGGGAGGCAGCAGUGAGGAAUAUUGGACAAUGGGCGGAAGCCUGAUCCAGCCAUGCCGCGUGCAGGAAGACUGCCCUAUGGGUUGUAAACUGCUUUUAUACGGGAAGAAACCGCUCUACGUGUAGAGCUCUGACGGUACCGUAAGAAUAAGGAUCGGCUAACUCCGUGCCAGCAGCCGCGGUAAUACGGAGGAUCCAAGCGUUAUCCGGAAUCAUUGGGUUUAAAGGGUCCGUAGGUGGAAGGUUAAGUCAGAGGUGAAAUCCUGCAGCUCAACUGUAGAAUUGCCUUUGAUACUGGCUUUCUUGAAUUAUUGUGAAGUAGCUAGAAUAUGUAGUGUAGCGGUGAAAUGCAUAGAUAUUACAUAGAAUACCGAUUGCGAAGGCAGGUUACUAACAAUACAUUGACACUGAUGGACGAAAGCGUGGGUAGCGAACGGGAUUAGAUACCCCGGUAGUCCACGCCGUAAACGAUGGAUACUAGCUGUCCGGAUUUAUCUGGGUGGCUAAGCGAAAGUGAUAAGUAUCCCACCUGGGGAGUACGUU